rnacentral:rRNA from 1 species
UACGUAGGGUGCAAGCGUUAAUCGGAAUUACUGGGCGUAAAGCGUGCGCAGGCGGCUUUGCAAGACAGAUGUGAAAUCCCCGGGCUCAACCUGGGAACUGCAUUUGUGACUGCAAGGCUAGAGUACGGUAGAGGGGAUGGAAUCCGCGUGUAGCAGUGAAAUGCGUAGAUAUGCGGAGGAACACCGAUGGCGAAGGCAAUCCCCUGGACCUGUACUGACGCUCAUGCACGAAAGCGUGGGGAGCAAACAGG